UGGGGAAUUUUGGACAAUGGGCGAAAGCCUGAUCCAGCAAUGCCGCGUGUGUGAAGAAGGCCUUCGGGUUGUAAAGCACUUUUGUCCGGAAAGAAAUCCUUGGCUCUAAUACAGUCGGGGGAUGACGGUACCGGAAGAAUAAGCACCGGCUAACUACGUGCCAGCAGCCGCGGUAAUACGUAGGGUGCAAGCGUUAAUCGGAAUUACUGGGCGUAAAGCGUGCGCAGGCGGUUUGCUAAGACCGAUGUGAAAUCCCCGGGCUCAACCUGGGAACUGCAUUGGUGACUGGCAGGCUAGAGUAUGGCAGAGGGGGGUAGAAUUCCACGUGUAGCAGUGAAAUGCGUAGAGAUGUGGAGGAAUACCGAUGGCGAAGGCAGCCCCCUGGGCCAAUACUGACGCUCAUGCACGAAAGCGUGGGGAGCAAACAGGAUUAGAUACCCUGGUAGUCCACGCCCUAAACGAUGUCAACUAGUUGUUGGGGACUUCAUUUCCUUAGUAACGUAGCUAACGCGUGAAGUUGACCGCCUGGGGGAGUACGGUCGCAAGAUUAAAACUC
rnacentral:rRNA from 1 species